rnacentral:rRNA from 1 species
AGGCUUAACACAUGCAAGUCGAGGGGCAGCAUGAACUUAGCUUGCUAAGUUUGAUGGCGACCGGCGCACGGGUGAGUAACACGUAUCCAACCUGCCGAUGACUCGGGGAUAGCCUUUCGAAAGAAAGAUUAAUACCCGAUGGCAUAGUUCUUCCGCAUGGUAGAACUAUUAAAGAAUUUCGGUCAUCGAUGGGGAUGCGUUCCAUUAGGUUGUUGGCGGGGUAACGGCCCACCAAGCCUUCGAUGGAUAGGGGUUCUGAGAGGAAGGUCCCCCACAUUGGAACUGAGACACGGUCCAAACUCCUUACGGGAGGCAGCAGUGAGGAAUAUUGGUCAAUGGACGAGAGUCUGAACCAGCCAAGUAGCGUGAAGGAUGACUGCCCUAUGGGUUGUAAACUUCUUUUAUACGGGAAUAAAGUGAGGCACGUGUGCCUUUUUGUAUGUACCGUAUGAAUAAGGAUCGGCUAACUCCGUGCCAGCAGCCGCGGUAAUACGGAGGAUCCGAGCGUUAUCCGGAUUUAUUGGGUUUAAAGGGAGCGUAGGCGGACGCUUAAGUCAGUUGUGAAAGUUUGCGGCUCAACCGUAAAAUUGCAGUUGAUACUGGGUGUCUUGAGUACAGUAGAGGCAGGCGGAAUUCGUGGUGUAGCGGUGAAAUGCUUAGAUAUCACGAAGAACUCCGAUUGCGAAGGCAGCCUGCUGGACUGUAACUGACGCUGAUGCUCGAAAGUGUGGGUAUCAAACAGGAUUAGAUACCCUGGUAGUCCACACAGUAACCAAAGGUACUCGCUGUUUGCGAUAUACAGUAAGCGGCCAAGCGAAAGCGUUAA